UACGGGGGAUGCAAGCGUUAUCCGGAUUUAUUGGGCGUAAAGCGCCUGUAGGUUGUUUAAUAAGUCUGUUGUUAAAGACUAGGGCUUAACCCUAGGAAAGCAAUGGAAACUACUAGACUUGAGUAUGAUAGGGGUAGAGGGAAUUUCUAGUGUAGCGGUGAAAUGCGUAGAUAUUAGAAAGAACACCGGUGGCGAAGGCGCUCUACUGGAUCAUUACUGACACUCAGAGGCGAAAGCUAGGGUAGCAAAAGGGAUUAGAUACCCCUGUAGUCCUAGCCGUAAACGAUGGAUACUAGAUGUUGUGUUUAAUAUGCAGUAUCGUAGCUAACGCGUUAAGUAUCCCGCCUGGGGAGUACGCUCGCAAGGGUG
rnacentral:rRNA from 1 species